AACUAACCUGCAGGAGAAAUGCCAUGCUGUGUGUUUGUACUACAUUUUGUCAAGCAAUGGCUGUGUGCUCACAGGUCUGUAUUAGUUGAACAUGUUAUUUAUUCCUCCACUCAUCCACUUCCUGUGCUGCCUAAUAAAGAUGAAUCAGAUCUGUUCAGUUUGGGAAUCUGCCAG